AGUGAACGCUGGCGGUAGGCCUAACACAUGCAAGUCGAACGGCAGCACAGUAAGAGCUUGCUCUUACGGGUGGCGAGUGGCGGACGGGUGAGGAAUACAUCGGCAUCUACUUUUUCGUGGGGGAUAACGUAGGGAAACUUCCGCUAAUACCGCAUACGACCUACGGGUGAAAGCAGGGGAUCUUCGGACCUUGCGCGAUUGAAUGAGCCGAUGUCGGAUUAGCUAGUUGGCGGGGUAAAGGCCCACCAAGGCGACGAUGCGUAGCUGGUCUGAGAGGAUGAUCAGCCACACUGGAACUGAGGCACGGUCCAGACUCCUACGGGAGGCAGCAGUGGGGAAUAUUGGACAAUGGGCGCAAGCCUGAUCCAGCCAUACCGCGUGGGUGAAGAAGGCCUUCGGGUUGUAAAGCCCUUUUGUUGGGAAAGAAAAUCAGCAGGUUAAUACCCCGCUGUUCUGACGGUACCCAAAGAAUAAGCACCGGCUAACUUCGUG
rnacentral:rRNA from 1 species